UCUCUCUGAAUCUGCGUACGGCUCCGCAAACCAGUUGUAAACUAUAGCAAGCAUGCCUGGGUUCCCUUCACGGGGAGCUUGGGCGAUACGGAUAACCCUGGUAAUUCUGAGGCUAAUACGAGAACGUAAUCCCUGGCUGACCCUCCGUGGAAGGCUGGGAAACGUGCGAUGUAUUUCGUUAGGUUUUACUGGGAAAAGACGCACGUUUGGACCGCGCAAAAAAGGACGUUGUGGGCCUACCCUCACGGGAAAGCCUGCUUCGCCCCAGCGGCUCUUGCGGUGUGCUUCUGACCUAUCAACUAGACGGCAGCGUAACGGACAUGCUAUGGUUACAACGGGUACAGAGGAUUAGGGUUCGAUCCUGGAGAGUGGGCCUGAGAGAUUGAGC
rnacentral:rRNA from 1 species